rnacentral:rRNA from 1 species
UACAGAGGGUGCGAGCGUUGUUCGGAAUUACUGGGCGUAAAGCGCGCGCAGGCGGCCUUUUAAGUCUGCUGGUGAAAUUCCGGGGCUCAACCCCGUGCCCGCCACAGAUACUGGGAGGCUGGAGACGAGUAGAGGCAAGCGGAAUUCCGGGUGUAGCGGUGGAAUGCGUAGAGAUCCGGAAGAACACCGGAGGCGAAGGCGGCUUGCUGGGCUCGGUCUGACGCUGAGGCGCGAAAGCGUGGGGAGCGAACAGG